rnacentral:rRNA from 1 species
UACGUAGGGUGCGAGCGUUGUCCGGAAUUAUUGGGCGUAAAGAGCUUGUAGGCGGUUUGUCGCGUCUGCUGUGAAAUUUCGGGGCUCAACCCCGAACUUGCAGUGGGUACGGGCAGACUAGAGUGUGGUAGGGGAGACUGGAAGUUCCUGGUGUAGCGGUGAAAUGCGCAGAUAAUCAGGAGGAACACCGAUGGCGAAGGCAGGUCUCUGGGCCACUACUGACGCUGAGGAGCGAAAGCGUGGGGAGCGAACAGG